UUAGGACUUUUAUUGGUUAA
rnacentral:miRNA from 1 species